CGCGCACAUGUGACAUGCCCCAUGGUCGUCGCCGCUCCAGGCAUCCUCCCGUGGCCUCACCUCCCUCUCCCUUCCUCCUCCCACCCGUCUGACGCCUCUGACGCCGCCGCAGCAGCAACAGACGCCAACACCUCCGCGUAUGACAUCCAGAUCUUCGAGCCCACCUCCAUCGAGGAGCGUCGUCGCCUCCUGAUCCAGCGGCGUCGCCUCCGACUCGCCGCCUCCCAUGCCUCGCGGCUCACCGUUGCCUCGCGCGUCUCCUCCAAACUCAUCAGCACCACUGCCUCCUGCUCCAGCGGCGUCGCAUCCGAUCUGCCGCCUCCCCUCCUCAUGGCUCGUCGUUGCCUCCCGCCUCUUCCCCAACCUCGCCCUUGCCGCCCUUGGAGGAUCCCAAAUCCGACGACGAGCUCAGUAGGCCCACGCAGACGCGGAUGUGCUAUGAACUUCAGACAACAUAUUCCUACCGAGAAGUAUGAAAAGUACACUUCAGAGCAUGUCAAGGUCCUCACGAAAGCUUCCUAUCAAGUGGUUGUUUGCAAGAUUGACGAGUUGUAGGCACCAAAUAUAUCGAGUCCUUGCUAUCAACAUAUGAGCAUAUUAUUGUCAAAGUAGGCAACAUCUCAUUUAACAGACAACUCUCCGCUCUAUCAUUCUCUCAAGGCUGAUGUGCAUUUCUGAUAUAUUGAGCUCAAGCGUCAGAUUCUGUAUCGAUGGCAAUGGGUUCCAGAACAGUACACAAGGCAAUUUCAAGACGGUUAUUCAAUUGCUCAAAUAGUUCAGUAAGUGAGAACAAAGAAACUUCCUAAAUGUAUUAAUAUGGCGAAAGAAGGCUCAUGUGCUGCUUCGAAAAUCAGUUCUAAGAAGGCAACCAGGGACAACAAACCUGAUAAGGGAAGAAACAUGUUCUGGAUAAAUAUUGGCCUUUGUUUCAAGACUCCAAGCCCGCCACCAUCCAGGGAUCAAUCCUCACCACGAGGACCAGGGGUGAUGCCAACAAGGUGUACGUGAACCUUUCCUGGGGUGUUGAUAAUUUAGCUCUCGCAAACCUGUUCACUGAGCAAGGACCAUCUAUGACAGUGAGAACAAGUCAAGAGGGUUUGAUUUUUUGUCAUGUAUGGUUCCACAGAAGAGCCUGAGAAUGCAUUAUCGAAUCUCAAUGGAGCUAUGAGUUCUGAAACCCUUUUUUCUUCCCCUUGCUGCUCGCGGCAUAGCAUUUGGAAAUUGAAGUACAAUUUGUCUUUCAGGAUAUACUGAAUUGAUUUAUCAUUGUCCUGCAGGACUUGGAUGAUAGAUCCGUGUUACGAUACCAGCAUCAAAGCCGCCUAGAAGCAAUACUGAACUUUCACUUGAGAUGUGAGUAGUUGUUGUUGGGGGCCUUCGUCCUCCGAAGGUCCUCAAAAACAUGAUUUGACAAUGUUUUCCAAGUGGAUUAUGUGAACAGGUACCUUCGGACUCAGAAUUACGAACAUGAAGUGCGGUCAGGACGAAGCCUGAACCAGACGAAGGACGGGCUGAUUACCAAGCUCCACGAAGGAUGGUGCACAGCCGAAGCUGUGCGCAGGGAAGCUUCGUCGUGAUAGCAGAGAGGGGAACCGACCUAAAGAUAAAAAGACUACGUGGGCCUUGUCAGAUUUCCAUAAGUCAUUGACAAAUGUAAUGGACAUAAAUGUAAUUUUACGUGGGCUGCGUCCCGCGUCUAUAAAUAGAUGAACAGUACUCUCGUACUGUUCACGCGGACUUGGCAUUUGCUUUUGCGUCACGCUUGUACUUUUUAUCUUCUCUCAGGACCGAAGGUACAUUUGUAAUUUGAAAUCAUUUCUAUUUUUCCAUGUUAAUAAAAUAGAAAUGAUUCUAUG